rnacentral:rRNA from 1 species
UGGUGGUGGUGAUGGCAAAGGCCCGAAGGGUUCCUAAACGAAAAUUAGUGGUAAUUGGGGGCUGUGAUACAAUGCAGUUACUUUGGAUUCAUUAGGAACGUGGGGUACAUCUUCCCGUGCGCAAUUACUUCCCGAGUCGAGGAUAAGCGGCAUAAAGGAUGGUUAGGUUUUUAGAUGGGCAGGCAGAAAGUUUCAAUAAUUUACUUAGAGGGAUGGGUGUAAUCUGUAAUUUAGUAGGACUAUCGUUAGAAUCUAGACGCUGAGGCCAUGAAACCUUAGGGAUAGACCCGGAUUAGAGACCCGGUUAUUCUUUGGUGUUAAUAGGCGAAGGAGUUGAGUGAUUCCAGAUUGAUCAUAAGCCGCCGGAGGAGUACGAACACAUGUUUAAAAAUCAAAGAACUUGGCGGCCAGCCAACCUACCAGGGGAACAUGUGCCUUAAUACGAUGGUCCACGUUUUAUCUUACCUUGUCUUGUAAGAAUCCCUCUGUGCGGCCUUUGGGCUCGAGGGUAAGGUCAGCCGCUAUACCGCCGUUGUCACUUUUCAGUCUGAGCGAUAAGAAGGGGGGGAUAAGAUGUUGUGAAGGGUUUAAGUGAGUUAGAGUAGUAUAAAAAUGUAGUUAAACUGUUCUAUUAGGCAACGCUGUUUUACGAGGUUUUUGUUAGUGGUCAGUUGGCUUAGGGCAGUAGCGCUUAGGCUGGGCAGUUGGGUAGAUUUGAUUUGUUGAGUUGGAUUUAUUUUUAUUUGUGUCCUUAUGCAUGGUGGGCAGGAAAGUCGAAGGUGUUUGAAGCUAUUGCUAGCCCGAAUAACGAAGUUAAAGGCGGUGUUGUGAUUCAAUCUUCGAAGGAUAAGUACCGUAAUGCCGUGGGCACUUGUUAGGAGACAUCUCUAACAAAGCGGUAAAUCCUGCGGUUGAUGGGCUACUGGUGAGGCUUUAAGGCGGAUUUAGGUCGUCUAAAUGGCUUAGUUUACUUAGCUCUAUGGUGUCAAGAAGACAGGUUGAGGUAGCGCCUAUGGCAGGGGAGUAUGUGUACAUCUAGGCUUUAGACACGGAUUUAAAGAGCUUUUGAUGAGGGACUUGGCAGUAGAA